AUGUCCACACAAGAGACAGAAUUACCCGACAGUCAGGAGAGGGUGGGUUUGAAGAGAAAACUGACGGGUCCACCGAGACUUUUGCUGGGGAAGUCAAAAUCAAGGGAGAAACUGGAAGGUAAAUCUCUGAGAAGGCAAAGACAAGCUAAAAGUUGUGAUAGCACAGCGGAGAAUAAUGAUCAAGAAAAAUAUGGAAAUGAAUCCUCACUUAUUACCCACCACAGCCCAGAAAAACCCUCAGAGGAGAAGGAAUCCCAGCCAGAUGCUCCAGGAGAUACCUCAGGAAUUCUUGUAACAUUGGAGCAUAGUGAAAGCAAAGAUGAAAAUAUAGAAAGUAAAACAAAAAUGACCAGAAGCACUUCAAAAACGUCCAUUAAAAGGACAUUCUCCUCACUCCUCAGGUGUGGAAAGAGGGAGGAAUCAGAGAAAACAGAAAACAAGAUUUUGAAUCCUCAAAAAACAAAGAAAAACAGAAACAAAGCUCAGCACAGUACAUUUAACUCCAUGGAUGAGAAUAAACUGAGUGAUGUAAACAAGGAUGUUCCUAAUGGUAAAAGUAAAACUAGGGCUUUCUUUACAGUGUGGCCCCUUUCUAAGAGAUCCACCACAUCCAAUGUCAGUCUAGGAAGGGGCUGUAGAGAGCAAGACAAUUGCAUGGUUUUUCAGGAGAUAAUGGCACCAAAAGGUUUGACAUUUAAAAAGAUCCCCCGCAUCUUUCCAAGAAAGAAGAAAGCAUCUGAAAUUGAUCAGUUUGAGUAUAAUGCUCCUAAGGAAUCACAAAAAGAAGAAGCUGAUCAACUGAAUCAAUCACCUGAGGCUGCUUUGGACAUUUCCUGUAAAGAAAAAGAAGAGAACCAAAAGGAAGAACAAGACAUAAUAGCGGAAAGCCUUCCAGAGACAUUUACAUUCAGUGCAGAGGUUCCUCCAUCAUGUUGCAGUGAGUUUCCAGGCACAUCAUCAGGUGGUGAUCUGCUAGUCUUAAUUGAGAAGCCUAUUAAAAAUAAUGUCAAAUGCAAGCCAGUGAUUACUAUAGAGCAAGCAUAUUCAUCAGAGGAAGAGAACAUGAAUGAGACACCUCAGUUUGAUGGUCUCACAGUGAACGGAUCCUGGCAACAUUUAAGAAUAAACAGCCUAACAAUCAACACACUGCAUCCUUCUGACCUAAAUGUGUCUCCUGAACUGGACCACAGCCAUUGUAAUGAGACCUUACUGAUUCAGACGGCAAUUUCAAUGGUGCAAGCAGCCAUUCAUGGCGCUGUGGAGCAACUCACAAUCGAGCAGCAGCACAAUCAGAUAAGUUUGGAUCAUGCAUAA
ensembl:lncRNA